AAACAGGAUUAGAUAGCGUGGUAGUCCACGCCGUAAACGAUGUCGAUCUGGAGGUUGUGCCCUUGAGGCGUGGCUUCCGGAGCUAACGCGUUAAAUCGUCCGCCUGGGGAGUACGGCCGCAAGGUUAAAACUCAAAUGAAUUGACGGGGGCCCGCACAAGCGGUGGAGCAUGUGGUUUAAUUCGAUGCAACGCGAAGAACCUUACCUGGUCUUGACAUCCACAGAACUUUCCAGAGAUGGAUUGGUGCCUUCGGGAACUGUGAGACAGGUGCUGCAUGGCUGUCGUCAGCUCGUGUUGUGAAAUGUUGGGUUAAGUCCCGCAACGAGCGCAACCCUUAUCCUUUGUUGCCAGCGGUUAGGCCGGGAACUCAAAGGAGACUGCCAGUGAUAAACUGGAGGAAGGUGGGGAUGACGUCAAGUCAUCAUGGCCCUUACGACCAGGGCUACACACGUGCUACAAUGGCGCAUCCAAAGAGAAGCGACCUCGCGAGAGCAAGCGGACCUCAUAAAGUGCGUCGUAGUCCGGAUUGGAGUCUGCAACUCGACUCCAAGAGUCGGUAUCGGUUGUAAUUGUAGAUCAGAA
rnacentral:rRNA from 1 species